rnacentral:rRNA from 1 species
AGUAAGCAUGAUCUCUGAGCUAGGCAAUUAUACAGCGGAACUGCGGAUGGUCACUAUAUAAAUAUCGCUUAUUUGAUAGUGCCUUACUACUUGGAUAACCGUGGUAAUUCUAGAGCUAAUACAUGCUACAAGCCCUGACUUCGGAAGGGGCGUAUUUAUUAGAUUAAAAACCAAUGCCCUCUGGUCCUUGGUGAAUCAUGAUAACUUCACGAAUCGCACGGCCUUGCGCGGCGAUGGCUCAUUCAAAUUUCUUCCCUAUCAACUUUCGAUGUUUGGGUAGUGGCCAAACAUGGUUGCAACGGGUAACGGAGGGUUAGGGCUCGACCCCGGAGAAGGAGCCUGAGAAACGGCUACUACAUCCAAGGAAGGCAGCAGGGCGCAAAUUACCCAAUCCCGAUUCGGGAGGUAGUGACAAUAAAUACUGAUACAGGGCUCUUUCGGGUCUUGUAAUCGGAAUGAGUACAAUUUAAAUCCCUUAACGAGGAACAAUUGGAGGGCAAGUCUGGUGCCAGCAGCCGCGGUAAUUCCAGCUCCAAUAGCGUAUAUAAAAGUUGUUGUGGUUAAAAAAGCUCGGAGUUGAACCUUGGGCCUGGCUGGCCGGUCCGCCUCACCGCGUGUACUGGUCCGGCCGGGGCUUUUCCCUCUGUGGAACCUCAUGCCCUUCACUGGGAGUGCUGUGGAAACAGGACUUUUACUUUGAAAAAUUAGAGUGCUCCAAGGAGCCUAUGCUCGAUACAUUAGCAUGGAAUAAUAAAAUAGGACGUGCGGUUCUAUUUUGUUGGUUUCUAGGACCGCCGUAAUGAUUAAUAGGGACAGUCGGGGGCAUCAGUAUUCAAUUGUCAGAGGUGAAAUUCUUGGAUUUAUUGAAGACUAACUACUGCGAAAGCAUUUGCCAAGGAUGUUUUCAUUAAUCAGGAACGAAAGUUAGGGGAUCGAAAACGAUCAGAUACCGUUGUAGUCUUAACCAUAAACUAUGCCGACUAGGGAUCGGACGAUGUUAUUUUUUGACUCGUUCGGCACCUUACGAGAAAUCAAAGUGCUUGGGCUCCAGGGGGAGUAUGGUCGCAAGGCUGAAACUUAAAGAAAUUGACGGAAGGGCACACCAGGGGUGGACUGCGGCUUAAUUUGACUCAACACGGGGAAACUCACCAGGUCCAGACACAAUGAGGAUUGACAGAUUGAGAGCUCUUUCUUGAUUUUGUGGGUGGUGGUGCAUGGCCGUUCUUAGUUGGUGGGGUGACUUGUCUGCCUAAUCGCGAUAACGAACGAGACCUUAACCUGCUAAAUAGCCCGUAUUGCUUUGGCAGUACGCUGGCUUCUUAGAGGGACUAUCGGCGCAAGCCGAUGGAAGUUUGAGGCAAUAACAGGUCUGUGAUGCCCUUAGAUGUCCUGGGUGCACGCGCGUUACAUGACGGAGCCAGCGAGUACUUCCUUGUCCGAAAGGUCCGGGUAAUCUUGUUAAAUCCGUCGUGCUGGGGAUAGAGCAUUGCAAUUAUUGCUCUUCAACGAGGAAUCCCUAGUAAGCGCAAGUCAUCAGCUUGCGUUGAUUACGUUCCUGUCCUGCAGGCUCACCGCCCGUCGCUACUACCGAUUGAAUGGCUUAGUGAGGCGUUCGGACUGGUCCAGGGAGGUGGGCAACUACCACCCAGGACCGGAAAUGCUCCAUCCUGACGACUCACUAAGU